UACGAAGGUGGCAAGCGUUACUCGGAAUUACUAGGCGUAAAGGGCAGGUAGGUGGUUCGAUAAGUCUGUUGUGAAAUCUCCCGGCUUAACUGGGAGAGGUCAACAGAUACUGUCGGACUUGAGUAUAGGAGAGGGUACUGGAAUUCCUGGUGUAGCGGUGAAAUGCGCAGAUAUCAGGAGGAACACCGGUGGCGAAGGCGGGUCUCUGGGCCGAUACUGACGCUGAGGAGCGAAAGCGUGGGGAGCGAACAGG
rnacentral:rRNA from 1 species